UACGGAGGGUGCAAGCGUUAUCCGGAUUCACUGGGUUUAAAGGGUGCGUAGGCGGUUUGGUAAGUCUGAUGUGAAAUCUAUGGGCUCAACUCAUAGUCUGCAUCGGAAACUGCCGGGCUUGAGUAUGGGAGAGGUGAGUGGAAUUCCUGGUGUAGCGGUGAAAUGCGUAGAUAUCAGGAGGAACACCUGUGGCGAAAGCGGCUCACUGGACCAUAACUGACGCUGAUGCACGAAAGCUAGGGGAGCAAACAGG
rnacentral:rRNA from 1 species